GGAAGAAGAAAUUUCUCGGAAAUAUCAUUGUACAUAGUGACUUAAGAAAAUCUCAACACCAUAAGUGCAGUGCCCAUGUGAGUCUUCAAGAAUACAUGGAUCUUGAAGAUGCAUGUUCGUAGCUAACAACUUGAGGUUCUUUCAAGGUAUCCGGGGCUGGAAAGGUCUUUUCUUCCUUCUUCUUUUUUUGUUUUGUUAUGGCGAUAUGAGAGGUUGGUCUUGAGAUCUUAGAGAUAUAGAAAAAAGGUAAAAAACAAAUUAAUAAUACCUGUAAUAAUUUGUGCAUAUCCAAAGGAUAAUCUUUUAUUUUUUGGAUCCGAACUUAAUUUCUCCAUUUUCUUUGUACUAAUGUUUUUGCUCUCUAUUUCUAAUUUGCUCUUUAAAGAUGACCCCCGAAAUCUAGCAACUAAAGAAAAAGAUGUAUAUGGGCCGGGUAGAUCGAUCUACGUAUAGCCAACAAUAAAGAAUUUAUUGGUUGUGCAAAUCAACAUCUUUUCUUAUUCUUCCUCUUCUUCUCCUCUUUCUUGUUCAAAAACUGCAUUAUAUCUGGAUAACAAGAGAUGGUUGGGGCUUUGGCAUCAUCAUCUUAGCCUAAAAAAUUAGUGGUUUUCUUGUGCUUUGGAACUUAAUGAGCUUUUAGAGAAGAGCAGUAGGAGAUUUGCUGGGUUUGAGUGGUGCCUAAAUUGGUGCUUCAAUAUAGGAGAUUUGUUAGGUUCUAAACUUUACGAUUUGAGGGCAGAGAUCUGAAAAAGUUGAAGUAUGACAUGUUUGUUAAAAUGCUUUACACAGGUUCAAGCUUUGAAGGCAUGCUAUAAUUACUAGAUUGUCAUUUUUUAUAUAGUGUCAUUUUCAUUAUUUUG
rnacentral:lncRNA from 1 species